UAGGGAAUCUUCCGCAAUGGACGCAAGUCUGACGGAGCAACGCCGCGUGAGUGAAGAAGGAUUUCGGUUCGUAAAACUCUGUUGUUAGAGAAGAACAGCGCAUAGAGUAACUGUUAUGCGUGUGACGGUAUCUAACCAGAAAGCCACGGCUAACUACGUGCCAGCAGCCGCGGUAAUACGUAGGUGGCAAGCGUUGUCCGGAUUUAUUGGGCGUAAAGCGAGCGCAGGCGGUCAAUUAAGUCUGAUGUGAAAGCCCCCGGCUCAACCGGGGAGGGUCAUUGGAAACUGGUUGACUUGAGUGCAGAAGGGGAGAGUGGAAUUCCAUGUGUGGCGGUGAAAUGCGUGGAUAUAUGGAGGAACACCAGUGGCGAAGGCGACUCUCUGGUCUGUAACUGACGCUGAGGCUCGAAAGCGUGGGUAGCAAACAGG
rnacentral:rRNA from 1 species